rnacentral:rRNA from 1 species
ACUUUCAACAACGGAUCUCUUGGUUCUGGCAUCGAUGAAGAACGCAGCGAAAUGCGAUAAGUAGUGUGAAUUGCAGAAUUCAGUGAAUCAUCGAAUCUUUGAACGCACAUUGCGCCCUCCGGUAUUCCGUUGGGCAUGCCUGUUCGAGCGUCAUUUA